GUGACAACAAUUAUUAAACAUUUUUUUUUUUUUUUGAUUUUAUAUAUUUCAAUAGCCAAACAAAUUAAUAAACUUGAUUUUUUGAACAUAUUAAAUGGCUCAUUUUUACCACCUCAUUCUCACACAUCUCUCUGCAUCUCAUUCACAGAUCACUGUGCGUCGCCUAAUUGCGAUGUGGGAGAUCAGUUCAAGCGGAAAUUUAGCACGGGGGUAGCUGACCUUAAAGUAGUUAGGAUGAAGACAAAAAAGAAGAAUAAGAU